rnacentral:misc_RNA from 1 species
GAAAUGCGAUAAGUAAUGCGAAUUGCAGAAUUCAGCGGGUGUCCACAUCUGUUCGAGCGUCAUUUCACCAGUCAAGCUCAUGCUUGGUGUUGGGCUCUCUCGUCCCCCACCUUUGGGGGGACGGGCCCGAAAGAACUCGGCGGCGUGGUCCUGCUCCGGGCGUAGCAGCAUAUCUUUCGCUCGUGGGGCUAGGGUCCAGCGCUUUAGCCGUUAAAAUAGCGGGAAAAGAGAGUAACGUCCCUUUUCCUCUACAACCAAGAGUUUGACCUCGGAUCAGAUGGGGACACCCGCUGAACUUAA